UACGAAGGGGGCUAGCGUUGUUCGGAAUUACUGGGCGUAAAGGGCGCGUAGGCGGUACUUCAAGUCAGGCGUGAAAGCCCCGGGCUCAACCUGGGAACCGCGCUUGAGACUGGAGAACUAGAGUUCGGGAGAGGAUGGUGGAAUUCCCAGUGUAGAGGUGAAAUGCGUAGAUAUCGGGAGGAACAUCAGUGGCGAAGGCGGCCUUCUGGUCCAGUACUGACACUCAAGUGCGAAAGCGUGGGGAGCAAACAGG
rnacentral:rRNA from 1 species